rnacentral:rRNA from 1 species
UACAACUUUCAACAACGGAUCUCUUGGUUCUGGCAUCGAUGAAGAACGCAGCAG